UACCGUUGUCUUCAUCUCUACUACAAAGGUACCGUCAACCGCAAAUGUUUACUGGACGCAGGAUCUGCCAAGAAGAUGAAUUCUCGCGAAGCGGGGUCA
rnacentral:lncRNA from 1 species